AGGUAUAUAUAUAGUUCUUAAUAUCUAUCAAGGCAAACAUGUUUUGACACACCUAAAAUAGCUACUAGGACCAAAGGAACUCAUUUGCCCCUUCACCAUGAGAGGUCGCAAGGAGAAGGCAUCACCUGUGGACCAGGAAAUGGGCCCUCACCAGACACUGUAUCUGCUGGCCGUUGAUCUUAUGCUUCCCAGCCUCUAAAACUAAAAAUCAGAUUCAUCAGUUGAAUCUUCGGCCAACAACUGUUCGGGAACGAUGUUAACAUCACAU